rnacentral:rRNA from 1 species
GACGAACGCUGGUGGCGUGCUUAACACAUGCAAGUCGAACGGGAUUUAGUAAACAGCAGCCUCGGUGGAAGAUUACUAAUGAGAGUGGCGAACGGGUGAGUAACGCGUGAGCAACCUGCCUUUGACAGGGGGAUAGCCUCGUGAAACCGGGAUUAAUACCGCAUCAAAUCGUUGAAACACAUGUUUUAACGGUCAAAGAUUUAUCGGUCAUAUAUGGGCUCGCGUCUGAUUAGCUAGUUGGUGAGAUAACAGCACACAAAGGCGACGAUCAGUAGCCGGUCUGAGAGGAUGAACGGCCACAUUGGAACUGAGACACGGUCCAAACUCCUACGGGAGGCAGCAGUGGGGAAUAUUGCACAAUGGGGGAAACCCUGAUGCAGCGACGCCGCGUGAACGAAGAAGGUAUUCGUAUCGUAAAGUUCUGUCCUAUGGGAAGAUAAUGACAGUACCAUAGAAGAAAGCUCCGGCUAAAUACGUG